AAACAAUUUUGAUUAAAAUACUUUGUUUACUUUCAUAACAGUCAACAACCAAUGAAAACUUAUACAAAACCUACAAGCUAAUAACUUUAGCAGUAACAUCGUCAACCGUAUAAAAGUAUUAAAAAAUGAAAAACUACAAAUAAGGUACAAGUAUAAUGCUCCUGAAAGUGAUGGACAAUCUAACAUUCUUUCAUAGCUGAGUAGUUCGCUUUAUACACCUUGUGCAUCACCUGUUAGUACCACUUCUCUGCAUCCAACAACCAAUUCAAAUAUGAUAGGUGAAAGGAUUAAGACUUUGAAACAUGAAUAAAUAUCAGAACUACCAAUGUUAUCUUUGUCAAGUUAUCUCCCAUCAAUCCACAAAAUCAAUUCAUUACCUCACAACAAAAUCGAGAGCCAUUAGAACUCAAUAAAGGGAGUAAUACAAAAGGUAACUAACAAAUAGAGAGGUUAAAAAAUUAGAAUAGUAUGAUUAAGAGUACUAAAGCUAUUACAUUAUUCAUAUUUAAUAAUUAGGCAUUAAGCAAUCAAGUACAAUCUAGUUCUUGUGAAUUGGAUCCACCCAUUGUAACCAUAUUAAUUACAAAGCAAUGCUUCUUUCCAAACUAAAAGGAAAAGUAUCUAAAUAAUACUAGAGCUUAUUCCAGUUCAGACAUUAAUAGGUAAAGGAAAUAUUACUGUUAAAGAAUAACGAAACUCACCAGUCACCAGCUUUGCAUCUUGUUUUGAGAUCAAUUGUUUCUUGACCAUUUUCAAUGAACUGAAGAUGAAACAUCCAAAUCAAAGGUAUAUAAACACAAGCAUAACAUAAAUAACAUAUACAAAAUCAUAUUUGUGUUAGUUUGGCAUAAGCAAAGACGAUUCCAACAAACUAAAUAAUAAUAUCUUAAGUUACUUGUUAAAAAAGUAGUGAACACUACAUUAAAACCUUCAUUCAGCUCAUUAAAAAAGUGAGUUCUCUUACCAUGAGUAGUGCAACGAAUAUGAGAGAGCUUGUGAAUCCUUCAAGAAAAGUAAACGACUUUGAAGAAGCUAACUUUGCUCUAAAUAUUUCUUGUAAAAUAAGAGUGGAAACAAAUAGAAAACAUGAAUAAAACAUAGGACUCCUAGCAGUUGGGUGAUCAACACAAUCCAAUUUUGGAUUUUACAAAUAUUGGAUCAAAUUACGUUUUGAGAAAUUUCACUUUGAGCUGAAAUAUGAAAUAUUUACCUGACAAUAUAAUACGUACAAAAGAGGAAGAAUUCACAUCACAAACUCCCUGCCAAAAAAACCCAACAAAUAUCUUCAUUUAAUACUCAUUAAUAUGCAUAAACUUGCCAAAAAACAAUUAAAUUUACUUACAUCAGAUUAGCUAGUUUUUUGACAUAAAAAGUUGUAUCCUCAACCUCUGGUUCAAUUAAGUGCUGGGCAACACAAGAUUAGGCAGGUCCCAAAUGGAUAUUGAUCUCUUUAGGGAGCCCUCAUCUAUGAGUACGACCACUACGCCUACCAAAAUCACCUUAUUUAUUUCAAUGACAAAGAUUUUAACAUAAAAAUCUAAAUAUGCAGAAGAACGAUUUUAACAUAAAAAGCUAAAUAUGCAGAAGAACAUUUGAUAGAAAUCAAGUUUCAUGAAAUCAAAAUAUUGCAUCAUAUGUUUAUGGGGAUUCUCUAGUACUAUACACUCACAAUAAAAAGUUCACAAAAAUCUCAAAUAAAUUGAACCUCUUUUUCACCUUGACACCCCAUGUAAUUCACGGUCCCUGUAACCAUAGGAAAAAGCNCUCGAGCCGACAAACACCAAAUAAACUUCAAACUUUUUAUAAUAACCUAACGAGUAAAUACAGGAUUUGGGCAUCCAAACAAUUUAACAAUAAGACUACAAAAAAUCAAAAGCAACAAAUAUUAUAACCGAAAAAUAUAAUUUCACCUCAAGAAGAGCGGCUACGGAGUAGAAGAAGAUGCAGAACGACGCCGCCAGAACUGCUCUUGCACUCCGUCCUCUGCCCCUUCCUUAAAUCUAAUUAUAUAGAGAUUUUGCUAUCAAAUUGACAAGAUCUGGGAAAAUUUCAUUGUUUCUAUGCUUGUAAAGAAAUUGAAAAGAAAAUAUUACAAACCCUACAAUUACAAACAGUUUCUAUUUUUCAUCUUUUUCAUAUAGAAAAGUUAAUUAAUUUGGUGGGAGAGUGCACGAUGGAAUUUCGAAGUAUGAGGCGGU
rnacentral:lncRNA from 1 species